CGCAGGGUAGCUCAGUUGGUAGAGCAUCUGACUCAUAAUCAGAAGGUCAAGGGUUCGAGUCCCUUCCCCGCAACCA
rnacentral:tRNA from 1 species